UACGUAGGGUGCGAGCGUUAAUCGGAAUUACUGGGCGUAAAGGGUGCGCAGGCGGUUUUGUAAGUCAGAUGUGAAAUCCCCGGGCUUAACCUGGGAAUUGCGUUUGAAACUGUAGAGCUAGAGUGUAGCAGAGGGGGGUGGAAUUCCAUGUGUAGCAGUGAAAUGCGUAGAGAUAUGGAAGAACAUCGAUGGCGAAGGCAGCCCCCUGGGUUAACACUGACGCUCAUGCACGAAAGCGUGGGGAGCAAACAGG
rnacentral:rRNA from 1 species